rnacentral:rRNA from 1 species
UACGUAGGGAGCAAGCGUUGUCCGGAAUCAUUGGGCGUAAAGCGCGCGUAGGUGGCCUCAUAAGUCCGCUGUGAAAGUCAAAGGCUCAACCUUUGAAAGCCGGUGGAUACUGUGGGGCUAGAGUCUGGUAGGGGGAUCUGGAAUUCCUGGUGUAGCGGUGGAAUGCGCAGAUAUCAGGAGGAACGCCGGUGGCGAAGGCGGGAUCCUGGGCCAGUACUGACGCUGAGGAGCGAAAGCGUGGGGAGCAAACAGG